rnacentral:tRNA from 1 species
CCGAUCCCGGAGGGCCGGGAGCCGCGGCCGCCACCCGCGCUCGCGGGGGCUGCCAGGGCCCGUUCCAUCCGGGUGCGUCGGUC